CGCGGCCNNNACAGCUUGUUGGUGGGGUAAUGGCCGUACCAAGGCGACGACGGGUAGCCGGCCUGAGAGGGCGACCGGCCACACUGGGACUGAGACACGGCCCAGACUCCUACGGGAGGCAGCAGUGGGGAAUAUUGCACAAUGGGCGAAAGCCUGAUGCAGCGACGCCGCGUGAGGGAUGACGGCCUUCGGGUUGUAAACCUCUUUCAGCAGGGAAGAAGCGAAAGUGACGGUACCUGCAGAAGAAGCGCCGGCUAACUACGUGCCAGCAGCCGCGGUAAUACGUAGGGCGCAAGCGUUGUCCGGAAUUAUUGGGCGUAAAGAGCUCGUAGGCGGUUUGUCACGUCGGGUGUGAAAGCCCGGGGCUUAACCCCGGGUCUGCAUUCGAUACGGGCAGACUAGAGUGUGGUAGGGGAGAUCGGAAUUCCUGGUGUAGCGGUGAAAUGCGCAGAUAUCAGGAGGAACACCGGUGGCGAAGGCGGAUCUCUGGGCCAUUACUGACGCUGAGGAGCGAAAGCGUGGGGAGCGAACAGGAUUAGAUACCCUGGUAGUCCACGCCGUAAACGUUGGGAACUAGGUGUUGGCGACAUUCCACGUCGUCGGUCGCCGCAGAGGUAGACGCAUCUAAGUUCCCCGCCGG
rnacentral:rRNA from 1 species